AAGAUCAUACUUCUACAGGAUCAUUUCUGUAGUAAAUCUUCACAAAAUCCGGCUACAACAGUCGAAUACCUUAAACCACGAUGAGGAAGCGUGGCGUUCUCCCCUGAGCGUGAGGCAGUUUCGGUAGUUCAGUCAUUUUGAACUACCAAAACAUCGAUGACCGUCAGCUUUCCCUUACCAGGGAAGGCGUGGGGGUUAACGCUUUCUGAGUGGU